UGUUAAGUUGCAAAUUCAACGCAAUAAAACACCCAAAAACAAAGUUUUAAGCAGCCGAUAAUUAACAAAUUGACAGAAGUUAGAAUCCAAUAAUUAACAAAUUGACAGAACUAGUAAUAAUUGCUAGAAUCUUCCCAAACUCAUAAAAUAGAAUGACAAAAAAUCAACUUUGCACCAAUAAGCAAGAAUUCUGAGCUUAGCUACAGAUGUAAAAUUCAUAUUCUUGAUCAUGGAGAAAUAAGACUUCUCAAGUUUCUUGGCAUACACUUGACACCUCACAACCAAG
rnacentral:misc_RNA from 1 species